rnacentral:rRNA from 1 species
GACGAACGCUGGCGGCGUGCUUAACACAUGCAAGUCGAACGGAAAGGCCCUGCUUUUGUGGGGUGCUCGAGUGGCGAACGGGUGAGUAACACGUGAGUAACCUGCCCUUGACUUUGGGAUAACUUCAGGAAACUGGGGCUAAUACCGGAUAGGAGCUCCUGCUGCAUGGUGGGGGUUGGAAAGUUUCGGCGGUUGGGGAUGGACUCGCGGCUUAUCAGCUUGUUGGUGGGGUAGUGGCUUACCAAGGCUUUGACGGGUAGCCGGCCUGAGAGGGUGACCGGCGACAUUGGGACUGAGAUACGGCCCAGACGCGUACGGGAGGCAGCAGUGGGGAAUAUUGCACAAUGGGCGGAAGCCUGAUGCAGCAACGCCGCGGGCGGGAUGACGGCCUUCGGGUUGUAAACCGCUUUCGCCUGUGACGAAGCGUGAGUGACGGUAAUGGGUAAAGAAGCACCGGCUAACUACGUG